UACGAAGGGAGCUAGCGUUGUUCGGAAUCACUGGGCGUAAAGCGCACGUAGGCGGAUUUGCCAGUCAGGGGUGAAAUCCCGGGGCUCAACCUCGGAACUGCCUUUGAUACAGCAAGUCUUGAGUUCGAGAGAGGUGGGUGGAAUUCCUAGUGUAGAGGUGAAAUUCGUAGAUAUUAGGAAGAACACCGGUGGCGAAGGCGGCCCACUGGAUCGGUACUGACGCUGAGGUGCGAAAGCGUGGGGAGCAAACAGG
rnacentral:rRNA from 1 species